UGGCGAACGGGUGAGUAACACGUGGGUGAUCUGCCCUGCACUUUGGGAUAAGCCUGGGAAACUGGGUCUAAUACCGAAUACACCCUGCUGGUCGCAUGGCCUGGUGGGGGAAAGCUUUUGCGGUGUGGGAUGGGCCCGCGGCCUAUCAGCUUGUUGGUGGGGUGAUGGCCUACCAAGGCGACGACGGGUAGCCGGCCUGAGAGGGUGUCCGGCCACACUGGGACUGAGAUACGGCCCAGACUCCUACGGGAGGCAGCAGUGGGGAAUAUUGCACAAUGGGCGCAAGCCUGAUGCAGCGACGCCGCGUGAGGGACGACGGCCUUCGGGUUGUAAACCUCUUUCAGCACAGACGAAGCGCAAGUGACGGUAUGUGCAGAAGAAGCACCGGCCAACUACGUGCCAGCAGCCGCGGUAAUACGUAGGGUGCGAGCGUUGUCCGGAAUUACUGGGCGUAAAGAGCUCGUAGGUGGUUUGUCGCGUUGUUCGUGAAAACUCACAGCUCAACUGUGGGCGUGCGGGCGAUACGGGCAGACUGGAGUACUGCAGGGGAGACUGGAAUUCCUGGUGUAGCGGUGGAAUGCGCAGAUAUCAGGAGGAACACCGGUGGCGAAGGCGGGUCUCUGGGCAGUAACUGACGCUGA
rnacentral:rRNA from 1 species